rnacentral:rRNA from 1 species
GGCUUUUUGUAAUUAAUUUAAAGUCAGGCCUGCCCCCUGAUUUAUUAAAGGGCCGCGGUAUUUUGACCGUGCUAAGGUAGCAUAAUCAUUAGUUUCUUAAUUAGAAGCUGGAAUGAAUGGUUUAAUGAAAAAUUAACUGUCUCAAUUUAAGUUUGAUUAAAUUUUAUUUUUAAGUUAAAAAGCUUAAAUAUAUUUAAAAGACGAGAAGACCCUAUAGAGUUUAAAAGAGUAUUAAUUUUUUAUUUUUAGAAUUAUUAAUAAAAUUUUAUUGUUUUUUUUAAUUGGGGUGAUUGAAAAAUUAAGAUAACUUUUAUUUUAGUUAAUACAUUGAUUUAUGAAUAAUUGAUCCAUAAGUAGUGAUUAUAAGAUUAAAUUACCUUAGGGAUAACAGCGUAAUUUUUUUUUAAAGUUCGAAUUAAAAAAAAAGAUUGCGACCUCGAUGUUGGAUUAAAUUUAAUUUUUGGUGUAGAAGCUAAAAGUUUAGGUCUGUUCGACCUUUAAAAAUUUACAUGA